GACAUAGGUUGCGAGCGUUAUUCGGAAUUACUAGGCGUAAAGCGAGUGUAGGCGGACGAUUAAGUUCGAUGUUAAAUCUCCCGGCUUAACUGGGAAUCGCAUCGAAUACUGGUCGCCUCGAGUGGGGUAGGGGGCAGCGGAAUUCCCGGUGUAGCGGUGAAAUGCGUAGAGAUCGGGAAGAACAUCGGUGGCGAAAGCGCUCUACUGGACCGCAACUGACACUCAGGGACGAAAGCUAGGGGAGCAAACAGG
rnacentral:rRNA from 1 species